AUUUUCCUCUCCUCUGUAUAGUUUAGCACUUCAAAGCUCACUUUAUAUUAUGCUAGAAUUGUAGAAUUUAACAUGAUGGAGCUAAAAGGGACAAUGGAGUUCAUCUAACUUGACUUUAAAGAUGAGAAAACUGAGGUCUGGAGACAUUUGCUUCAAGUCACUUAUCUGGUACCAAAAUGGGAACAAUAACGUAGUUUCCCUAAAGAAGUUGAGUAAUUACAUCAAUAUUUAACCUAGAUAUCAUCUAACCUCUUGUUUUCCACACAACGUCACUGAGGAAUCUCAGAGAGGAGGGGUUCAAAGCUCAAGUGGAAGGGAUUUGCCUUGAAGAGGCAAGGGUCUAUCUGUUGUGCAUACUUGGGGACCUCUCUUUUCUCUGAAAUAGAGAGCUAGGCCAUCUGUUAAGGUUGAGGGGGAAGAAAGAUGAUGGGACGUUAGAAGAGGAUUCAAGUUUAGAUGGUCUGCUGAAGGAAUGAAAAGUGACUCCCACCAGGAAUGAAUACGGUGACUAUAAUUUGUAAUGGAGUGUUGAAGACUCACCCACACCAGCUGAGAGUGAAAGAGAGAAAUGUGAGAUGGCACCAAUCAACACGGCUCUAUACUUUCUUCAGUAGUACUCAUGGUUCUGGAGAAGAAAUAGAAAAGUCCUGGCCUCCACUGGCUUCCAAGAGGCAGGCUGAUGGGAAAUCCAAAACAUUGUUCUCUGGCCUUUCAGAGGGAUUCCAAGGAGAGUGCUGAGCAUGGUUCCCUCUCCCCAUCUCAUCAACAGGAAGAGCACAUCAUUUCAAAUAUCGAAGUGGGUCCAUGUUUCUGUCAGGUGUCUCUGGACACACCUUAUGUAGUAUUAUCUCUCCUCUCAGAGCUGGGGAGAUUUCCAUCAUCUUCGUGGGAAGUUCGUGUUUCGAUUUGGAUUCCCAGCUUAUUGUGCAUGGCUUUUACCAAAAAACUUAUUUGAGCCCCAGUUUCAUGAUUUAAGACCUAAUAGUGAUAAUAAUAUUUAUUAAACUGGGAUGCUGAGAAGAUUGGAUAGAAAACCAUAAAUGCCUGG
rnacentral:lncRNA from 1 species